UUUCCUCCUCACUUCCUCACGCCCUCAUUCCCUCACUCCCUCAGAUCUGCAAUCUAUCUGUCCAUCUGCGUCUCAGUCCCUUACAUCACCGGAGUCACUGCCGUCCCUCGCCACACCGCCCUCACCGCCCUCACGCUAAAGCUUCAAGCCGCCGUCACGUAGUCCGAGCUCCAUCGUCGCCGCGUCCCGCCGGUCUAGCCACGGCCUCCCCUCACCACUGUGUAAUAUUUGAAAUGAUCCAAGAGCUUUCUUGUUGAAGCAUUUCCUUCAAUUGAAUGGGCCUCCUUUGAAAGAUCAAAUCGAACAGAUUCUGAAGAGUGGCAUUCUUGCAGAAGAGAAUUCUAUUCUUUUUCAAGAAAAAGUGAAAGGGGAUGCAGAGCUUUACCAAAUCUGCAGCCCUACUUUGCAGCAGCGACCAUUGUCACAGAAUCAACUCAGCUCCCUGUAAAAGUGCCAUCUUUGGAGGUGUUUUUAAUUCUAAGCCUCAACGCACCUUAAUCCUCAAGCAAUUUUCUUCUUCCUCUUCUUGGAUGCUUUCCCAAAA